rnacentral:rRNA from 1 species
AUUGAACGCUGGCGGCAUGCUUUACACAUGCAAGUCGGACGAGUGGCGAACGGGUGAGUAACGCAUCGGAACGUACCGAGUAAUGGGGGCUAACUGUCCGAAAGGACAGCUAAUACCGCAUAUUAUUCGAGCGGCCGAUGUCUGAUUAGCUGGUUGGCGGGGUAAAGGCCCACCACGGCGACGAUCAGGAGCGGGGCUGAGAGGAUGAUCCGCCACACGGGGACUUAGACACGGCCCAGACUCCUGCGGGAGGCAGCAGUGGGGAAUUUUGGACAACGGGCGCAAGCCUGAGCCAGCCAUGCCGCGUGUCUGAAGAAGGCCUUCGGGUUGUAAAGGACUUUUGUCAGGUAAGCGGUACCUGAAGAAUAAGCACCGGCUAACUACGUGCCAGCAGCCGCGGUAAUAC